CAUCCUUGAUAUGCCUUUCCAUCCCUGAUCAUAUCGCUUGACAAUAUUCAUGGCCUGCUCGCCCAUCACUGUGCAUUACCAUGAUCCUGGGAAUGCAUGACCGCACCACCCAAUAUCUUCGGUCCACAGCCUACUCACACAUUGGGCACUGCCACGAUAUCGGCAUCCAAGUCUGCCCCAUCAAGUAAAUAUCUUCGAC
rnacentral:lncRNA from 1 species